CAGUGGAUGCUGAGUUAGAAUUUAACAGCGUAAAACCACCGCCCGACACGAUCGAAGAGG
rnacentral:sRNA from 1 species